rnacentral:rRNA from 1 species
AUUGAACGCUGGCGGCAUGCUUUACACAUGCAAGUCGAACGGUAACAGGCCGCAAGGUGCUGACGAGUGGCGAACGGGUGAGUAAUGCAUCGGAACGUGCCCAGUCGUGGGGGAUAACGCAGCGAAAGCUGCGCUAAUACCGCAUACGAUCUAUGGAUGAAAGCGGGGGACCGUAAGGCCUCGCGCGAUUGGAGCGGCCGAUGUCAGAUUAGGUAGUUGGUGGGGUAAAGGCUCACCAAGCCAACGAUCUGUAGCUGGUCUGAGAGGACGACCAGCCACACUGGGACGGGGACACGGACCAGACUCCUACGGGAGGCAGCAGUGGGGAAUUUUGGACAAUGGGCGCAAGCCUGAUCCAGCAAUGCCGCGUGCAGGAAGAAGGCCUUCGGGUUGUAAACUGCUUAUGUACGGAACGAAACGGUCCUGGUUAAUACCCGGGGCUAAUGACGGUACCGUAAGAAUAAGCACCGGCUAACUACGUGCCAGCCGCCGCGGUAAUAC